GUAUAAAGCACUGAUCGUUGUUUUGAUGACGAUCUCUUUCCUUUUUUAUGGAGAUGCGAUAGACGGAUGGCGGCCUUCCAGUCUUGUAGCUCAUUCAAAUAAGCCGCUAGGGAAUCUUCAGUGAUUUGCAUGAGAUCUGGAGAUGUAUCUGAUUUUCCAAGAAUCAUGGGAGAUUUCUUGAUUUGAUGAUGUGAUGUUGAUCUUCUCCUUGUGUGCCAACGGCUUCUUUUAAUGAAUAUUUCCUUCCUUGUUUAAUGCUUCAAUCUUGCUUCCUUGAUUUAGUGAGAUGGCAGCUUGUCUUUUAUCCUUUCUUCGCUUGCCUUUUAUCCAUGCUUAAGUGAUUCUGCUUUCUUCCUUGAAUAUCUG
rnacentral:lncRNA from 1 species